rnacentral:rRNA from 1 species
UACGUAGGGUCCGAGCGUUGUCCGGAAUUAUUGGGCGUAAAGAGCUCGUAGGCGGUUUGUCGCGUCGGGAGUGAAAACCUUGGGCUUAACUCAGGGCUUGCUUUCGAUACGGGCAGACUAGAGGUAUGCAGGGGAGAACGGAAUUCCUGGUGUAGCGGUGAAAUGCGCAGAUAUCGGAAGGAACACCAGUGGCGAAAGCGGCUUCCUGGUCCAGCACCGACGUUCAGGCACGAAAGCGUGGGGAGCAAACAGG